rnacentral:lncRNA from 10 species
AUUACCUAGGCUGUACUGCCGCAAAGCUUCACAGACAGCCCCCAUUACUUCAAUCAAGCCCAAAUUUCUUCCUCAUCUGUUACCUAUCUCGGCAUUUCUCAUAAAAACCCACAUGCUCUCCCUGCCAAUCGUGUCCAACUGAUCUCUCAAACCCAAGCACCUUCUACAAAACAACAACUACUUUCCUUCCUAGGUAUGGUUAGCAUGGUCAGAAUUCUUACACAAGAGCCAGGACCACAACUUGUAGCCUUUCUGUCCAAACAACUUGACCUUACUGUUUUAGCCUAGCCCUCAUGUCUGCGUGCAGCAGCUGCUGCUGCUUUAAUACUUUUAGAGGCCCUCAAAAUCACAAACUGUGCUCAACUCUCUCUCUACAGUUCUCAUAACUUCCAAAAUCUAUUUUCUUCCUCAUACCUGAUGUAUAUACUUUCUGCUUCCCGGCUCCUUCAGCUUUACUCACUCUUUGUUGCAUCUCCCACAAUUACCAUUGUUCCUGGCCCAGACUUCAAUCCAGCCUCCCACAUUAUUCCUGGUACCACACCUGACCCCCAUGACUGUAUCUCUCUGAUCCACCUGACAUUCACAUUUCCCCAAACUUCCUUCUUUCCUGUUCCUCACCCUGAUCACACUUGAUUUAUUGAUGGCGGUUACACCAGGCCUAAUCGCCACACACCAGCAAAGGCAGGUGAUGCUAUAGUACAAGCCACUAGCUUGCCUCUUAGAACCUCUCAUUUCCUUCCCAUUGUGGAAAUCUAUCCUCAAGGAAAUAACUUCUCAGUGUUCCAUCUGCUAUUCUACUACUCCUCAGGGAUUAUUCAGGCCCCCUCCCUUCCCUACACAUCAAGCUCGAGGAUUUGCCCCACCCAGGACUGGCAAAUUAGCUUUACUCAACAUGACCUGAGUCAGGUAACUAAAACACCUCUUAGUCUAGGUAGACACUUUCACUGGAUAGGUACAGGCCUUUCCUACAGGGUCUGAGAAGGCCACCACAGUCAUUUCUUCCAUUCUGUUAGAUAUAAUUCCUCAGUUUAGCCUUCCCGCCUCUAUACAGUCUGAUAACAGAUGAGCCUUUAUUAGUCAAAUCAGCCAAGCAGUUUUUCAGGCUCUUAGUAUUCAGUGAAACCUUUAUAUCCCUUAUGGUCCUCCAUCUUCAAGAAAAGUAGAAUGGACUAAAGGUCUUUUAAAAACACACCUCACCAAGCUCAGCCACCAACUUAAAAAGGACUGGACAAUACUUUUACCACUUUCCCUUCUCAGAAUUCAGGCCUGUCCUCAGAAUGCUACAGGGUACAGCCCAUUUAAGCUCCUGUAUAGACGCUCCUUUUUAUUAGGCCCCAGUCUCAUUCCAGACACCAGACCAACUUAGACUGUGCCCCCGAAAAACUUGUCAUCCCUACUAUCUUCUGUCUAGUCAUACUCCUAUUCACCUUUCUCAACUACUCAUACAUGCCCUGCUCUUGUUUACACUGCCAGUUUACACUGUUUUUCCAAGCCAUCACAGCUGAUAUCUCCUGGUGCUAUCCCCAAACUGCCACUCUUAACUCUUGAAGUAAAUAAAUAAUCUUUGCUGGCAGGACUAUGCUGAAUCUCCUUAGGCAUUCUCUAAUCAGAUAUCCUGAGUCAUCCCAAUUCUUAGACCUUUUAUACCUGUUUUUCUCCUUCUGUUAUUCCAUUUAGUUUCUCAAUUCAUCCAAAACCAUAUCCAGGCCAUCACCAAUCAUUCUAUACGACAAAUGUUUCUUCUAACAACCCCACAAUAUCACCCCUUACCACAAGACCUCCCUUCAGCUUAAUCUCUCCCACUCUAGGUUCCCACGCCGCCCCAAUCCCGCUUGAAGCAGCCCUGAGAAACAUCGCCCAUUCUCUCUCCAUAUCACCCCCCAAAAAUUUUCACCGCCCCAACACUUCAACACCAUUUUGUUUUAUUUUUCUUAUUAAUAUAAGAAGGCAGGAAUGUCAGGCCUCUGAGCCCAAGCCAAGCCAUCGCAUCCCCUGUGACUUGCAUGUAUAUGCCCAGAUGGCCUGAAGUAACUGAAAAAUCACAAAAGAAGUGAAUAUGCCCUGCCCCACCUUAACUGAUGACAUUCCACCACAAAAGAAGUGUAAAUGGCCUGUCCUUGCUUUAAGUGAUGACAUUACCUUGUGAAAGUCAUUUUCCUGGCUCAUCCUGGCUCAAAAAGCACCCCCACUGAGCACCUUGCGACCCCCACUCUUGCCCGCCAGAGAACAAACCCCCUUUGACUGGAAUUUUCCUUUAUCUACCCAAAUCCUAUAAAACGGCCCCACCCUUAUCUCCCUUCACUGACUCUCUUUUCAGACUCAGCCCACCUGCACCCAGGUGAAAUAAACAGCCAUGUUGCUCACACAAAGCCUGUUUGGUGGUCUCUUCACACGGAUGUGCAUGAAAGCCUCCAGUGGUAUACUGAGUUGGUCAGGACCCCCAUUUUCUCUGCGUCCAACAUCCCCAGUUCUCCUCUUUGGUGAUUGAGUGGUUCAGGGAAACUGGCCUUUGUAAGAACUGAGAAUCUAAAUUAAUGCAAUUUAAACCUUUGACUGUGUAUGUGAGAGGAGAGAAAGACCCUCUCACAUUGUUUUAUAUUGUUUUAUAUUCAGUAAAAACAACAAGGAAGUAAAACCAAAGACAGGCAGCCUGGCGCCAGGCCUGAAACCAGGCCUGGGCCCACCUGGCCUAAACCCAGUAGUUAAAAAUCAACUUAUGAUUUAGAAGCUGAUGUUAUUCAUAGAUUCCUUACAUUGUAUAGAAGAACACGGUGAAACUCCCUGCCCUGUUCUGUUCCUCCCUGACCACCGGUGCAUGCAGCCCCUGUCAUGUACCCCUUGCUUGCUCACAUCAAUCACGACCCUUUCAUGUGAAAUCUUUAGUGUUGUGAGCCCUUAAAAGGGCAGAAAUUGUGCACUCAGGGAGCUCAGAUUUUGAGA